CCUACGGGUGGCUGCAGUGGGGAAUAUUGGACAAUGGGGGGAACCCUGAUCCAGCCAUGCCGCGUGUGUGAAGAAGGCCCUCGGGUUGUAAAGCACUUUCAGUGAGGAAGAACGCCUGGUGGUUAAUACCCAUCAGGAAAGACAUCACUCACAGAAGAAGCACCGGCUAACUCCGUGCCAGCAGCCGCGGUAAUACGGAGGGUGCGAGCGUUAAUCGGAAUUACUGGGCGUAAAGCGCGCGUAGGUGGCUUGAUAAGCCGGUUGUGAAAGCCCCGGGCUCAACCUGGGAACGGCAUCCGGAACUGUCAAGCUAGAGUGCAGGCGAGGAAGGUAGAAUUCCCGGUGUAGCGGUGAAAUGCGUAGAGAUCGGGAGGAAUACCAGUGGCGAAGGCGGCCUUCUGGACUGACACUGACACUGAGGUGCGAAAGCGUGGGUAGCAAACAGGAUUAGAUACCCCUGUAGUC
rnacentral:rRNA from 1 species